rnacentral:lncRNA from 1 species
GGGCUGAGACCCAGGGCUCAGGGACUGAGGCAGGCCUGUCUCCUGCACCCCAGGCUGGUCUGCCUGGGCUGGUUUGGCCCGUUGGUCCCUGCUCAGCCCUCUGACUAAGGGGUGGCUGUGAGGAGGAGCCACUGCUCCCAGAGCUGGGUGGGGAGGCCAGGGUAGGAGCAAACCCUCCACCCCUUCCCUCCUUCCUGCCUUGCUUUCCUCUCUGCCGGCUCUGAGAGCAGCCUGACCCAGCCAGCAGCCAUGGACAGGUACAGCAUGGAGGAGCUGAUCCAGCUGGGCCAAGGUAGGGCAUAGGAGCAGCCUGGCUACAGAGAAAGGAAAGGGGAGGGAUCAAGGCCUCCAACAGGGAUGGGGCUGUCCUUGGCAGCCUGCUACAGGACCCUGAGUUGCCCCCUUUCCUCAGUUUCCGUGACCUUGGGCAUCAGAAUGUGGGGUGCAAGGAUGUGUGUGGAAUGUGGGGUGUUCCAGAAUAGUGGAAGUUAGUGGAGGGGCUGCUCACAGCCUGGGGCAUUUCUUCCUCUGGGAACCACUUCUCACCCAAGCAGGGGGUUCACAGGCUCCUCUGAGUCCAUGCAUGUGGCUAGGUCAGAGGGCCAAGAACUGUGCCUGCCUGGUUCAGCUCCUGUCCACUUCUGGUCAUCUGCUGCCAUGGGCUGGGCUGGGCUGGGAUUUGGACCCUCUCUGGCCUGCCUUUAAGGUAGCUAGUGUCCCUGGUGCUCUGGGCUUCUUGAGCCAGUACAAUCCUUGGCUGCCUAGAGCAGGCCACUAAAAUGUUUCUGAAGUGUGGGGCUGGAGAGCAGGGGCUCAGGUGGGCCCAGUCUUUUCCUCAGCCCCCAUCCCAUCUCCGCAUCGUGGACAGGGUGCCCACCCUGGCAGUCAGGGACCAAGACUGGUUUGCUGUGCUUUGCUGAAGGCUUAGCAUGGGCCAGCUCCUCAUGGUCUUCCUGCCUUGGUUUUCUCAUGUUCAUGAUGCAUUCAUGCAUAGGACUCACUUGUAGAGUGUGCUGGAGAUUAGAACAGAAUGGUGCCUGGCGCAGGAAACACUACAAGAUGCUACCCUCUGGAGGAGAGGGUCAGGACUGUAUCCCCUUCAUACACAGUUGUGUACACACACAUCCGUUUCCCCAGGUGUGCUAGGAUCUGGGCCAGCACAGGAUAUGGGGGAUGUGGCGUGGACUGCCUGCUGACAGGACCUCUGACCCCUGUCUUCCACAGAAUAGGAUUGCUGUGGUAUCUCGGGAGGGCUUUCCCUAUCCAGACCACAUGGGAACACCAGGAGAGAGGCCUCGGGUGAAGAGGGGCAGCCCAGAGAUAUGGGGUGGGCACUUUUUCAUGUGGCCUGGACCCCAAUUUGGGGCUGCCUGGGUCUCUGGCUGGUAGUGUGACCUUGGGGAGACUGUCUUGUCCACCCUGAGGCCAGGUGUGGUAUUGAAUGACUUUGCGCAGGGCCCUCUGGGAGAAAGGGGCGUGUCACCACAUUGGUCCAUUUGAUGCUUCCCAAGAGCACCCUACGAGGUGGGCAGGGCAUGGGCCACACGAGCCCUAGCCCCUGUGUCUUGUGCCGAGGGGGUCCUGAGGCCAGGCAGCUCCUUAUUACAGCAUUACCAUGGGAGCAAGGGUGUGCAUGUCAGUGGC